UGGGGAAUCUUGCGCAAUGGGCGAAAGCCUGACGCAGCAACGCCGCGUGGGGGAUGAAGGCCUUCGGGUUGUAAACCCCUUUCAGCAGGGACGAAAUUGACGGUACCUGCAGAAGAAGCCCCGGCCAACUACGUGCCAGCAGCCGCGGUAAUACGUAGGGGGCAAGCGUUGUCCGGAUUUAUUGGGCGUAAAGAGCUCGUAGGCGGCUUGGCAAGUCGGGUGUGAAACCUCCAGGCUCAACCUGGAGCUGCCACUCGAUACUGCUAUGGCUUGAGUCCGGUAGGGGACCACGGAAUUCCUGGUGUAGCGGUGAAAUGCGCAGAUAUCAGGAGGAACACCAGUGGCGAAGGCGGUGGUCUGGGCCGGAACUGACGCUGAGGAGCGAAAGCGUGGGUAGCAAACAGGAUUAGAUACCCGUGUAGUCC
rnacentral:rRNA from 1 species